GACGAACGCUGGCGGCGUGCUUAACACAUGCAAGUCGAACGGAAAGGCCCUGCUUUUGUGGGGCGCUUGAGUGGCGAACGGGUGAGUAACACGUGAGUAACCUGCCCCUGACUUUGGGAGAACUUCAGGAAACUGGGGCUAAUACCGGAUAGGAGCUCCUGCUGCAUGGUGGGGGUUGGAAAGUUGCGGCGGUUGGGUCUGGUCUCGAGGCUUAUCCGCUUGUUGGUGGGGUAGUGGCUUACCAAGGUUUUGACGGGUAGCCGGCAUGGGAGGGUGACCGGCCUCCAUGGGACUGAGAUACGGCCCAGUCUCCAACGGUAGGCAGCGGUGGAGAAUAUUACAGAGUGGGGCGACGUCUGUUACGAAAGCCCCGCGUUCGGAAAGACGUCCUACUGGUUGAAAACCUCUUUGUCCGGUAACGAGCAGUGAGUGACGGUAAUGGGUAAAGAAGCACCGGCUAACUACGUG
rnacentral:rRNA from 1 species